ACCAAAAUAGCUCAGUUGGGAGAGCAUUAGACUGAAGAUCUAAAGGCCCCUAGUACAAUCCUUGGUUUCGGCA